AACUGCACAGCCCAGCAGAAGUUGGAUGCGCCAUACUCGCCGAAAAACUGAGAAUAUAGCACACCGUCUCUAAAGCUAAAUUAGGCAUCAGCAGCUUUCGGUUGUGUAUCAACGACGUUGCUGCAGCCGCACUCCGUCAUCAACGAAACCAACAAAAUUGGUCGUCUACGUGGGUAAACGGAGAGCGCAAGACGUCGAGUUCAAGUGGUGUGAUGCAAUAGUAACCGGAAUCGGAUGAUUGGAGGAGGAGCCCGGAGGCAAUCAGCUGGGCAUGGUUCCUAUAUUAUGUCCCCUACGGGGUUAACCCCCUCACAGUGCGAGACCUGCUGGGCGGAGGAGACUUCCCACGGAACACCCAGUUUGCCAUUGUAAAAGCUACGGUUGAAUACAUCAAGAGUACUGGACGCCUGAAUAAUCUCUGAAAGCUGAUCAAGACUGUCCUGGAACAAUAUAAUUCAAAUUAAGUAACCCAUUGAAAACCAUUUGAUAAAUCCAGGUGCAACAAGUGCCCUGUCGAGGGACAUUUAUGCAACCUCAAAACGGACUACAUACAUACUAUAUUAUGUCGAAAAUACCUAUUUGAAAAUUAGAUGUUGUGACCAUAGUAUGUGAUAAAAAGGAUUGCCAUAGCAGUUUAUGCUUGCAAUGGAAGGAGAUAACAAUUUUAGAACUGAAGUUCAAGAAGCCACUGAGGCAGUUGACAUUCUUCUCAGAACAGCUGCCAGCAACGAGAAGCAACUGAUGAACUUGGCCAGUCAUGUAAAGGGCGUGCAGGCUUUAACCAACAGAAUACAGACAGAAGUCAAAGUCUUACAGAGGGGUCUCCAGAGGCCAAAUUGGUUGAAAUUAGAACAUGUAAUAAGCAGCAACUUGCAUCACCU
rnacentral:lncRNA from 1 species